CAAAGAACUUUGAAGAGAGAGUUCAAGAGGGCGUGAAACCGCUUAGAAGCAAACGAGUGGAGCUGCAAUGAAGUCGGUAGAAUUCAACUUGCCUUCGUGUGGACGUCCUGUGCCUGAUUUUCCUUCCGGAAACGGGAACGCUCUGCGCUGGGUGGGUGCACUUUCUGCCGAUGUGCGCCACGAUCGAUUAGGGUGCUGGCUAAAGAGGAGCGAGUUGCCGACUGGAACUUCGGUUUCAGAGCCCCGUUCGUUCUUUCUGUCCGAGUUGCCCUGAUCGAAGAUCUGCCGCGCCCGCUUGUCUCAUAGCGGGUUCCUUGCGUGCGGUUGAACUGGCUUGUCUUGCUUGCAAGACUGGCUGACCCACGUGCGUUAAGGGGCUCGUUGUUGAGUGGCGCUUAUGGUCUGUGGCGUCCGUGUCAGUCACCCACUCGACCCGUCUUGAAACACGGACCAAGGAGUCUAGCAUGUGCGCAAGUCAUUGAGCUGCAAACUCAAAGGCGCAAUGAAAGUAAAGGUCAAUUCCGUUGGCCGAAGUAAGAUCCCUAGCUCGUCUGGGGCGCAUUACUGUCCCAUCUCAUCUACAUGCUAGAGGGGUGGAGAUAGAGCGCACACGCUGGGACCCGAAAGAUGGUGAACUAUGCCUGAGCAGGACGAAGCCAGAGGAAACUCUGGUGGAGGUCCGUAGCGGUUCUGACGUGCAAAUCGAUCGUCAGACUUGGGUAUAGGGGCGAAAGACUAAUCGAACCAUCUA
rnacentral:rRNA from 1 species